rnacentral:rRNA from 1 species
UACGGGGGGAGCAAGCGUUGUUCGGAAUUACUGGGCGUAAAGGGCGCGUAGGCGGGAUGGCAAGUCGGUCGUGAAAUCCCUCGGCUCAACUGAGGAUCGUCGAUCGAUACUGCCGUUCUUGAGGAUUGCAGAGGAGACUGGAAUUCCCGGUGUAGCGGUGAAAUGUGUAGAGAUCGGGAGGAACACCGGUGGCGAAGGCGGGUCUCUGGGCAAUUCCUGACGCUGAGGCGCGAAAGCGUGGGGAGCAAACGGG